GAGCCUAUAGACCAGAGAAUUAGAGCACGUGGCUACGAACCACGAUGUUGGGGUUCGAAUCCCUCCUCGCCCA
rnacentral:tRNA from 7 species